GGAGUGUUGAAAGUUAACGGUGUAGUACUGGGAAAAUUUACCGGCAGACCGGCAAUUAAAUCGUCUGGAGCAAAUGUUUCACCUGCAAAAUAAAGAACGCAAUUAUAACAAUAUCCACAAUUCCUGAUUCUUAGAAAAAUGCCUCAUACAAUGAAACAGGUGCAUUAAGUUCGAGAACUGCUUGUUUCUACGCUGAAAUCCAUGCAUAUAUUCGGUAAUAGGAGUUAUAAGCAUUUUAUAAGAUACUUAGUACAGAAAACAUGCUGAAGAAGUCGAAACAUGAAAACCAAACAAAACUAAAUAAUUCUGAAAAAUGGAAUUUGAACAACUGGGCAGUCGUCGUAGCAUCAACGCUCCUCGAGGGUCAUAAAUCACAAAUCUGCAG